rnacentral:rRNA from 1 species
GACGAACGCUGGCGGCGUGCUUAACACAUGCAAGUCGAGCGGGAUCCAACCGGUGGCAACACCGGGGAAGAUCUAGCGGCGAACGGGUGAGUAACACGUGAGCAACCUGCCCGAAGACUGGGAUAACACCGGGAAACCGGUGCUAAUACCGGAUGUCGUCAUUAGGCCGCAUGACCUGAUGGUGAAAGGAUUCAUCGCUUCGGGAGGGCUCGCGGGCUAUCAGCUUGUUGG